rnacentral:ribozyme from 14 species
CAAUAGAGAAAGAUAGAUAAAAGAAAUGAGAACAAAUGAAUCAUUGAUUCAACCCGUUGUUUCUGUUUCUAUUUCUAUUUCUGUUG